rnacentral:rRNA from 1 species
UACGAAGGGGGCUAGCGUUGUUCGGAAUUACUGGGCGUAAAGCGAACGUAGGCGGUGUUCCAUGUCAGAGGUGAAAGCCUGGGGCUCAACUCCAGAAUUGCCUUUGAAACGGGGACGCUUGAGUCCGAGAGAGGAUGGCGGAAUUCCUAGUGUAGAGGUGAAAUUCGUAGAUAUUAGGAAGAACACCGGUGGCGGAGGCGGCCAUCUGGCUCGGUACUGACGCUCAGGUUCGAAAGCGUGGGAAGCAAACAGG